GUGCGUCUGCCUGGGUAGCUCAGUUGGUUAGAGCAUGGUGCUAAGAAUGCCAAGAUUGCAAGUUCAAUCCCCGUGUGGCACA